AGAUUGAACGCUGGCGGCAGGCCUAACACAUGCAAGUCGAGCGGUAGAGAGGUGCUUGCAUCUCUUGAGAGCGGCGGACGGGUGAGUAAUGCCUAGGAAUCUGCCUAGUGGUGGGGGAUAACGUUCGGAAACGGACGCUAAUACCGCAUACGUCCUACGAGAGAAAGCGGGGGACCUUCGGGCCUCGCGCCAUUAGAUGAGCCUAGGUCGAUUAGCUAGUUGGUGAGGUAAUGGCUCACCAAGGCGACGAUCCGUAACUGGUCUGAGAGGAUGAUCAGUCACACUGGAACUGAGACACGGUCCAGACUCCUACGGGAGGCAGCAGUGGGGAAUAGUUGGACAAUGGGCGAAAAGCCUGAUCCAGCCAUGCCGCGUGUGUGAAGAAGGUCUCGGAUUGUAAAGCUACUUUAAGUUGGAGGAAGGUUAGUAACCUAAUACGUUAGCUAACUUUAGACGUUACGACAGAAUAAGCACGCUAACUUCGUACAGCAGCCGUA
rnacentral:rRNA from 1 species